rnacentral:rRNA from 1 species
UGCUUGUCUCAAAGAUUAAGCCAUGCAUGUCUCAGUACAAGCCAAAUUAAGGUGAAACCGCGAAAGGCUCAUUAAAUCAGUUAUGGUUCCUUAGAUCGUACCCACAAUUACUUGGAUAACUGUGGUAAUUCUAGAGCUAAUACAUGCAAACAGAGCUCCGACCGGAGACGGAAGGAGUGCUUUUAUUAGAUCAAAACCAAUCGGUGGCGGGUUCGCGCUCGUUAUCGUACAACUUGGUGACUCUGAAUAACUUUACGCUGAUCGCACGGUCAUCGCACCGGCGACGCAUCUUUCAAAUGUCUGCCUUAUCAACUGUCGAUGGUAGGUUCUGCGCCUACCAUGGUUGUAACGGGUAACGGGGAAUCAGGGUUCGAUUCCGGAGAGGGAGCCUGAGAAACGGCUACCACAUCCAAGGAAGGCAGCAGGCGCGCAAAUUACCCACUCCCGGCACGGGGAGGUAGUGACGAAAAAUAACGAUACGGGACUCAUCCGAGGCCCCGUAAUCGGAAUGAGUACACUCUAAACCCUUUAACGAGGAUCAAUUGGAGGGCAAGUCUGGUGCCAGCAGCCGCG